AGCCUCCUUUAUGUAAUUAACAUGUUUUAGCCUUUUCUGCUAUCACUUCAUGCAUUCUGUAUCAUAUUUAAACUUGACUUUACUAAUAAUGGUUUCAUAAACUUGUGGAAAAUCCAAGCAACAUAAUUUUUUUAGUUUGAUGUUGUAAAGGUAGUAUUAGGGGACACUUUGGGUAUCUCCAAACUUGAUUAGGUUUAGUGGACACUUUGGGUAUCUCCAAACUUGAUUAGAGAGGAUCAGACCAAGGGCCAUUCUAGAUAUCAUCAGAUCAGGAGAAAAUUUCAGGAUAUCUUCAUCAACAAAAAUGCCAGAGCAAGGAACAUGUGAACGAUGUGGAUGGGGGGACUGAUGAUAAGACAGUAAUUGCAAUCUUGGCACACAGGAACUCAACGCAAAGGAAACAUAUUCAAGAAGCCUAUGAUGAACUCUACAAGGAGAGUCUCACCAAAAGGCUUGAAUCUGAACUCAGUGGUGAUCAUGAGAAAGUUGUGUAUCGAUGGAUGUUCAAUCCAAUUGAAAGAGAAGCGGUUCUUGCUAACAUAGCACUGCAGAAGACUGUUGAUUACCCUAUUAUCAUUGAAAUAGCCUGCAUAAAUUCACCUGUUGAUCUUCUUGUAGUGAAGCAAGCCUAUCAAGCUCUAUACAAACAGUCUUUGGAGGAAAUGUAGCUGCACGUACUUCCGGCGACUUG